rnacentral:lncRNA from 1 species
CAUAAUAGUUAGCAAAGUUGUUGGGAGGGUUAAACGACUUAACACCAGUCAAGCGCUUCACCGGCGUGCGGCACGUGGGAAGCGCUCAGUGACUGCAGCCGGGCAAUUGACGCGGAUUCCGCUGAACUUGGCCCCGCGUGGGCCGGCGCGGGCAGGCUUAGCCGGGGUGAUUUGCGGCUGCCGCCUGCAGGGUUUGGGGAGAAUUCGGCCCCUGCUCCUGUCCCAGCCCCAGCCAAACGCCUGCGUUUUGUUUUAGGAUUUGAUGGAGAACUGAGUUAUAAACGGGGUAGGGACGGCACGAAAAGCCAGGUCAGGAGCCGGCCUACGGCUCAAGCCGGGAGCAGCGGCGGGCAGGUACGCGCGGGCAGAACCAGAAAUGGAUGCUGAAUACAAAGAAAUCAACUUCUCAAAGGAGGGGAAGAGCAGUGGGAGGCUGUUAGUUCAAUUGCUGACGAUGUGUGACUGUGGCAGGGUCAGAAGUGCCCAGUUUACUCAGCAUCUCCCGUCAUUCUUACGAUUGCAGUUACGGAAUUGGGUGCAGCGUGUCAUAUACAUGAUGUUCUAUGGAGAUAAGCUUUCAUUCAGCUCAGUGCUUUGGAGAGCCCUCCAUGUGGCCGAGCAUCCUUUGUGUUGGGGAGCAGUAGCCGUGGGGUUUGCCCCCCGAGAAGGGGAGAGCUGCCGCCUGCAGAGCUGCUGCUCCUGCUUCACGCUCCCCCCAGCAUCUGCGCCCCAUGUCCGCCCGCGGGGGCACCGGGAGUGCCAAGGAGGCCCAGUAGGAGGAAAGCAGGCAAGAAUCUGCAAACCACCUUGGCUUCCUCAAAUUGCACCUGGCUGACAGCGAGGGUGGUGAGGAGGUGGCCAACGGCAGAAACAGAAUUGGACAAAUGAGCAGAAUUGGAAGUGUUUCCUCAGAACAGAGAAGAGCUGGGGCAGCUCAGGGGUGCUGCAGCAGGCCUAGUGGACCAUUUUGUCGGGCACCAGGAACAAAUCAAUCCCACCUGUAUCUGGCCCUCCAGUGCUGAUGCCAGAGGUUCAGAGUUCUGGGGAAGAGAGGACCGGUUUAGGAGGGCCCCACCACACCAUGCAUGCCAAGGAGAGGGGCUCUGCCUGAGGAAAUUGGAGUUCUGGGACCAGAAUAUGGCAGCUACAAAUGUUGACUCUUCCAGAAAAUUACCACCUCCUCCAAAUAAGGGUGGGUCUAUCUGUAAAUUGUGUAGAUUGUGUAAUCUUUACUAUUCAUGCAUUACCUGGGCCUGAGAACUUACCUGGAAUAUAUGUUCUUAAAUAAUGUUAUCUAUUAUUAUUUGAGUUGUUAUUUUCAGAGCUCCUCUCUAAUUUCCAGAUUCAUCAUUCUUCAAUGUUUCCACAUUUAGUAUUUAGUACUAGUAUUUUCAUGUUAUAAUUGUACCCACACAUAUACAACACUUGUUUCUACACCUUGAGUUCCUUAGUGCUAGUUGCACUUUUAGGUUAUAUCAGCUCUGCUACUUUGAGAAUUGCCUUUGGACUUUGUUCUUAAAUAAACAAAUGAAGACUGCUCUGGUCUUCUGAGCCCAGGGUCUGAGCACUGGUCUGGGAGCCACCAUGGGACUGAGGAAAGCAGCCCUAAAUGCCUUGUUUAUGACAAAAAUCUCUCGAAAGUAGCCCAACCUCUCUCACCUCUGUCUCCUGCCUGUAAAAUAAGCAUGUUAGUCUAGUUCAGAAAUCUGAUAUUUUGUGAGAAACUUAAGUUGACUAGAGCACACAGGGAGAAAUGUCAUUGGAAAUACAUGUUAUGAUCCAUUAGAAUGACAAAUUGUGCAUGUCCACUGUACUCUAAUGGCCUCCAAUAUAUUUUCUUGUGUCUGUGAGUACUUCAAUUGUAUUGAAGAAUGUCAUAAUGAAACUUGUCCCUGAAAUACAUACUUGAUUCCAAAUUGAUUGAGUUUAUGGAAAAGAAAAAAACUCAUUAGCAUGUCAUCUCUACAUUACAUGAGAAUUUUUAUGGAGGCUAACUGAGAAGGGAGGCAUGUGAGACAUGUUCUAGUCCAAGCCUUGUCCUACU